UGCCCGCUGGUGUAACCGGCAGCACCGCUGACUCUGGCUCAGCUAGUUCAGGUUCGAAUCCUGGGUGGGCAA
rnacentral:tRNA from 3 species